rnacentral:rRNA from 1 species
CCUACGGGACGCAGCAGUGGGGAAUAUUGCACAAUGGGGGAAACCCUGAUGCAGCGACGCCGCGUGGGUGACGAAGUAUUUCGGUAUGUAAAGCCCUAUCAGCAGGGAAGAAGAUGACAGUACCUGGCUAAGAAGCCCCGGCUAACUACGUGCCAGCAGCCGCGGUAAUACGUAGGUGGCGAGCGUUAUCCGGAAUGAUUGGGCGUAAAGGGUGCGCAGGCGGUCCUGCAAGUCUGG